rnacentral:lncRNA from 1 species
AGCCUGACAGUUGAUUAUUUACAGACUGAUUGAUAAAGGGAGAAGUUUACGAUGAAGACCAUGCUACUCCAUCCUAAAGCCAACACCCUUAGAUCUGGGAACCUUCUACUAUGUUGAAAAUGUUCGGUCCUGCAUGAAACACUAGUACAGUUUUCUCAUUACACUAUAAAUUGUUCAGGUAGAAGACCCAACUUUUUAAUACACAAUUCAUACGCAAUAUGUGCAAUCAAUGCUAAAAUCAAUUUUAGGACGUUUCUGUUCCCUCAAGAAAACCUUGUAUCUCCCCCCACACACACACACACAGAAGGCUGAGGCAAGAAGAUCCUUUAAGGCCUGGAGUUUGAGCUCAGCCUGUGUGACAUUUCGCCUCUGAUAAACAAACACGACUCACGGAAGCCUUCUGAAUUAGCAUUGUGAUGUAAUUCUCUAUCUCGCUCUGCCCACGUUUCUUGGUCAGUUCUUCCCUAGAACUUCAGCCUCCAGUGUUCUUCAGGGCCAGCAUGCCAGAGCACAGAAAGCCCACUGAUAAAGCAGCCUCAGUGUGAGAAGCUGGGGUUAGACCAAAGGCUCUCAACAAGUGGGUUGUGACCCCUUCAGGGUCAUCUAUCAGAUAUCCCGCAUGUCAGAUGUUUACAUUAUGAUUCAUAACAGUAGCAAAAUUACAUUUGUGAAGUAACAACAACGUAAUUGUAUGGGUGGGGGUCACCACAGCAUGAGGAGCUGUGUUAAAGAGGGACAGCAUUAGGAAGGCUGAGAAGUGCUGGGUUGGAGUCUGCAGUCUACUCAGGGAGCAGAAACCUUGAUUUGGCCUUUGGAGAGUGUCCUGGCCUUUGAAUGAAUAUCCAUCAUUCCUGCCUCCACGUUCCUGCCUCUUCUCAAUGGUCGGGAGGCUUUUAAAACCGCUGCUGAAGGAUUGCAUUCUUGGGACACUGGAAAAGCAUGCGCCACCAUCGGAAAGCCUCUUAUGUCUUACAUAGGCUGGUUUACACUGUCCUUCCACUGAUGCAACCAGGGCUCUGCUGAUAGGAACACAAAGCUACAAAAGCCUGUAUUUAAGCAUCUUCUGCUCCUUAACAUUGCUCUUCAUGAAAGAGCCCAAUCUUUAGGCACCUCAUGAAAUGCCAUGACUCUGUAAAUACAGAACUUGUUGUACCUGUAUAUCGUUGGGCACUACUUCUUGUCAUAGUAAAUAAAGAACAAGCAAACAAACAAAUUCCCGAAGCCAUCAUUAACGGAGCAUGUAGCUCUCAACCCUGAUUUCAAUCUUUGGGAAUAAAGGCUACAUAGAAGGUGUUCAAAAUCGGGAUACCAGUCACCUGCCAGGAAUAUAUAUUAAAAGUUUUACCUGAUGGUCAAAAGGAUGGUAAAUCAGAUGAAGGAACACUGCUGGUCAUGAAGAGGACCAAAGUUAGCCCAAGAUAAGCUGGAUCCAAAUCUGCAACUUUCCAACUCCACAACUACAAAGUUUGAAAAUCUGUUACUCGGCCUGGAAAAAUUGCUUCCCCCCCCCCUUUUUUUUUUCUUGAGACAGAGUCUUACUAUUUAGUCCUGACUGUCCUAGAACUCAUGCUGUAGACCAGGCUGUCCUUGAGUUCAAUACAGAGAUCUGCCUAACUCUGCCUCCCAAGUGUUGGAGUUAAAGGUGUGUGCUAUGGCUCCUGUAUCCCUCUCCUUCCCCUGCUGUAGUUUAGAAUUAAAUGAAUGUCUAGGAUUGAGAGUGUAGU